rnacentral:misc_RNA from 1 species
UACACCCUCACCCCUCCCAACUUGUUGGGUGUGCUUGCUUUAUUGGCAAGCCGUUGGGGUGGAUCUGGCUUCCCCAAUCAGCCAUCAGGCAGAUUGGGUUGGCUGAAGUGCAGAGGCUUAAGCAAGGACCCGAUAUGGGCUUCAACUGGAUAGGUAGCACCGGCUUCUGCCGACUACACGAAGUUGUUGCUUGUGGCUCUUGCUAGAGGCCAAGCAGGAACGUGCCUUUGGCAUGUCUAAAC